AUAGGAGGUGGUGUAUUUCCUCAUAUCAAGGAACCCGAUUACCUUAGAGAUGGUCAAUAUCGGAUCAAUUCUCAGGCCACACCCACCAUGCUAAACUGCCUCAUGUACAAACUCUCCUAUUACAGGUUUGUGGAGACAGAUGGUAAAGCCUUUGA